CAGAGCACUGUUUCGUCGACAAGGCCACUGUGAGCUAAGCUGUCAACCAGAGCCAUUUAUUAGUUCGUUCUGGCGGGUGUUGGCGGAAGGUUCGUGGCGAAGUGAAAAUUAAAUCAAUUUAUUUUUAUUUCAAGUCGUGCGUGAGAAGCAGGAAAUUAUGGCAAUCCCCGUCGCAAUCGGAAGGAAACCACUAGUCGUAGCUACCACAAAACGUAACGGAAUUGUUAGCCGGUUAUGGAGAGCUUUGAAGGGAAAUUUUGAACGGUACCAAUCUUUCACUAGUACGGCGUGGCCUUAUCGGUGAGAGGGUUUAGGCAUGAAGAAGCAGUUGCUGGUUUGCCAUGAUAUUGAUUAAAUAUGUUGCUGAGGAGGAUUUCUCGUCACCUGGUUGAAACAAGUAAAAGGGAUAGUGUACCCGUGUGUUCAUCUCUUACGACGCAGUCAUAUCGAAAAACCUUAUGAUUGUACGGCAAGCUAAAAAUAAAUGUGAACUAAUGAAACUGAUGUAGCA